UACGGGGGGGGCAAGCGUUGUUCGGAAUCACUGGGCUUAAAGGGCGCGUAGGCGGUCGGCAAAGUCAGGGGUGAAAUCUUUCGGCUUAACCGGAAAAGUGCCUUUGAAACUAGUCGGCUCGAGUGAGAUAGGGGCAUGUGGAACUUCCGGUGGAGCGGUGAAAUGCGUUGAUAUCGGAAGGAACGCCGGUGGCGAAAGCGACAUGCUGGAUCUCUUCUGACGCUGAGGCGCGAAAGCUAGGGGAGCAAACGGG
rnacentral:rRNA from 1 species